AACGAACGCUGGCGGCAUGCCUAACACAUGCAAGUCGAACGAGACCUUCGGGUCUAGUGGCGCACGGGUGCGUAACGCGUGGGAACCUGCCCUUAGGUUCGGACUAACUCCCCGAAAGGGGUGCUAAUACCGGAUAAUGUCUUCGGACCAAAGAUUUAUCGCCUUUGGAUGGGCCCGCGUUGGAUUAGCUAGUUGGUAGGGUAAAAGCCUACCAAGGCGACGAUGCAUAGCUGGUCUGAGAGGGUGAUCAGCCACGCUGGGACUGAGACACGGCCCAGACUCCGAGGGGGAGGAGCCGUGGGGACUCUUCCGCGAUGGGCGAGGGCGUGACGGAGCGACGCCUCGUGAGUGAUGAAGGUCUUCUGCUCGGAGAACUCUGUUAGUAGGGAGGAACAAAUGUGUACGUAACUCUGCGCGUCUUGACGGUACCUAAUCAGAAGGCCACGGCUAGCUACGUG
rnacentral:rRNA from 1 species